UACGAGUGGCUCAAGCGUUAUCCGGAAUUAUUGGGCGUAAAGGGGGUGUAGGUGGUUAUAUUAGUUAAAUGUCUAACCUCUGGGCUCAACCUGGAGACAGCAUUUAAAACGGUAUGACUAGAGUAUGUAGUGUAGCGGUGAAAUGCUUAGAUAUUACAUGGAAUACCGAUUGCGAAGGCAGGUUACUACUAAUGGAUUGACGCUGAUGGACGAAAGCGUGGGUAGCGAACAGG
rnacentral:rRNA from 1 species